rnacentral:rRNA from 1 species
CGCUGGCGGCGUGCCUAAUACAUGCAAGUCAACGGCUUUCUAUGGAAGCUUGCUUCCACUGAGAAGAUAGUGGCGAACGGGUGAGUAACACGUGGGUAACCUGCCCAUAAGAGGGGGAUAACAUCCGGAAACGGGUGCUAAUACCGCAUAGUUUUCUUGAUCGCAUGAUUGAGAAAGGAAAGACGGCCUUUGUGCUGUCGCUUAUGGAUGGACCCGCGACGUAUUAGUUAGUUGGUGAGGUAAUGGCUCACCAAGACGAUGAUACGUAGCCGACCUGAGAGGGUGAUCGGCCACAUUGGGACUGAGACACGGCCCAAACUCCUACGGGAGGCAGCAGUAGGGAAUCUUCCGCAAUGGACGAAAGUCUGACGGAGCAACGCCGCGUGAGUGAAGAAAAGGUUUUCGGAUCGUAAAACUCUGUUGUCAGAGAAGAACAAGUUGGAGAGUAACUGCUCCAGCCUUGACGGUAUCUGACCAGAAAGCCACGGCUAACUACGUGCCAGCCGCAGC